rnacentral:rRNA from 1 species
GAUGAACGCUGGCGGCGUGCUUAACACAUGCCAGUCGAACGGAAAGGCCCAAGCUUGCUUGGGUACUCGAGUGGCGAACGGGUGAGUAACACGUGGGUGAUCUGCCCUGCACUUCGGGAUAAGCCUGGGAAACUGGGUCUAAUACCGGAUAGGACCACAUUUUGGAUGGUGUGGUGGAAAGUUUUUCGGUGUGGGAUGAGCUCGCGGCCUAUCAGCUUGUUGGUGGGGUAAUGGCCUACCAAGGCGUCGACGGGUAGCCGGCCUGAGAGGGUGUACGGCCACAUUGGGACUGAGAUACGGCCCAGACUCCUACGGGAGGCAGCAGUGGGGAAUAUUGCACAAUGGGCGCAAGCCUGAUGCAGCGACGCCGCGUGGGGGAUGACGGCCUUCGGGUUGUAAACUCCUUUCGCUAGGGACGAAGCGUUUUUGUGACGGUACCUGGAGAAGAAGCACCGGCUAACUACGUG